rnacentral:rRNA from 1 species
GAAUUUUGGACAAUGGGCGCAAGCCUGAUCCAGCCAUGCCGCGUGAGUGAAGAAGGCCUUCGGGUUGUAAAGCUCUUUCGGCCGGAACGAAAUCGUCCGGGCUAAUACCCCGGAUGGAUGACGGUACCGGAAGAAGAAGCACCGGCUAACUACGUGCCAGCAGCCGCGGUAAUACGUAGGGUGCAGGCGUUAAUCGGAAUUACUGGGCGUAAAGCGUGCGCAGGCGGCUUCUCAAGUCAGAUGUGAAAUCCCCGGGCUUAACCUGGGAACUGCGUUUGAAACUGGGGAGCUAGAGUGUGGCAGAGGGGGGUGGAAUUCCACGUGUAGCAGUGAAAUGCGUAGAUAUGUGGAGGAACACCGAUGGCGAAGGCAGCCCCCUGGGCCUGCACUGACGCUCAUGCACGAAAGCGUGGGGAGCAAACAG